UGUCGUCAGCAAUGUUUCUAUCGGAUUCCCCGGAAGUAGUAUUACCAAGAAAGAAUGUAAACAAACUCCGGUGAAUACCAGAAAACGAAAGGAAGGACAGGGUUUCCAGAACAGAAGACCUCAGGAUCGGAGAGGAAACUUCAGGGGAAGACCCUAUACAAGCAGGGGGAGAGUACGAGGAAGGGGUCAGAGACCAUUCCAAAAUCAAUAUCAACAGUACCAACAGCAAUACCAAUAAAUAAUUCAUAUUUUACCAAAAGUGCUUUCCAAGAUGAAGGAAGAUUGUGUCUUGAUGGGUAUAUUAAUAGUUCCAGCUUGGCCGUCCCAGAAUUGCUAGAGACUGCCAGCUGGAAGAAUGAGCAGACGUUUUUUAAAUAUUAUAAGAGGGAAGAGGUUACAGAAGCAAGUACAGUGUUUCAAGAUUAUGUUUUCUCUGAUAAAUGAUUUACAGUAUUAAAAUUAUUUAACUAC